GAUGAACGCUGGCGGCGUGCCUAAUACAUGCAAGUCGAGCGAACGGACGAGAAGCUUGCUGCUCUGAUGUUAGCGGCGGACGGGUGAGUAACACGUGGAUAACCUACCUAUAAGACUGGGAUAACUUCGGGAAACCGGAGCUAAUACCGGAUAAUAUUUUGAACCGCAUGGUUCAAAAGUAAAAGACGGUCUUGCUGUUACUUAUAGAUGGAUCCGCGCUGCAUUAGCUAGUUGGUAAGGUAACGGCUUACCAAGGCAACGAUGCAUAGCCGACCUGAGAGGGUGGUCGGCCACACUGGAACUGAGACACGGUCCAGACGCCUACGGGAGGCAGCAGUAGGGAAUCUUCCGCAAUGGGCGAAAGCCUGACGGAGCAACGCCGCGUGAGUGAUGAAGGUCUUCGGAGCGUAAAACUCUGUUAUUAGGGAAGAACAUAUGUGUAAGUAACUGUGCACAUCUUGACGGUACCUAAUCAGAAAGCCACGGCUAACUACGUG
rnacentral:rRNA from 1 species